AUGGCAGAGGAGAUUGCUGCUCUUGAAUGCACUAGUACCUGGGAUCUUGUUUCCCUUCCUCCCGGAGUCCGUCCCAUCACUUGUAAGUGGGUCUACAAGGUUAAGACUCGCUCCGAUGGUUCUCUUGAGCGUCACAAAGCUCGUCUUGUGGCUCGUGGUUUUCAGCAGGAGCAUGGUCGUGAUUAUGACGAGACUUUUGCUCCUGUGGCACAUAUGACCACUGUUUGUACACUUCUUGUCGUUGCCUCUGCACGCCACUGGUCUAUAUCUCAGCUUGAUGUUAAGAAUGCUUUUCUUAAUGGUGAGCUGCGUGAGGAGGUGUACAUGCAGCCACCACCUGGGUAUUCUGUUCCUGAUGGCAUGGUCUGUCGUCUUCGUCGCUCUCUCUAUGGCCUUAAGCAAGCCCCCCAUGCCUGGUUUGAGCGUUUUGCCUCUGUGGUCACUGCUGCUGGUUUUUCAGCAAGUGCUCAUGAUCCAGCAUUGUUUAUUCACCUUUCUCCUCGUGGUCGGAUUCUUCUUCUUCUCUAUGUUGAUGACAUGGUCAUCACUGGGGAUGACCCCGAGUAUAUUGCCUUUGUAAAGGCCCGUCUUAGUGAGCAGUUUCUUAUGUCUGAUCUUGGCCCUCUUCGCUACUUUCUUGGGAUUGAAGUCUCUUCUACCUCUGAUGGCUUUUUUAUAUCCCAGGAAAAGUAUAUCCAGGAUCUUCUUACUCGUGCUGCUCUUACUGACGAACGCAUUGUUGAGGCUCCUAUGGAGCUCAAUGUUCACCUCCAUGCUACUGAUGGUGAUCCCCUCCCUGACCCGACGCGUUAUCGUCAUCUUGUUGGCAGUCUUGUCUAUCUAGCUGUCACUUGUCCGGAUAUCUCUUAUCCGGUUCAUAUUCUAAGUCAGUUCGUCUCCGCUCCCACAUCGGUCCACUAUAGUCAUCUCCUUCGUGUUCUCCGAUAUCUUCGGGGCACAAUCUCUCACCGUCUAUUCUUUCCUCGCUCCAGUUCUUUACAGCUUCAGGCUUAUUCGGAUGCUACGUGGGCUAGUGAUCCUUCAGAUCGCCGUUCACUUUCUGCUUAUUGUGUUUUUCUUGGUGGUUCUCUCAUUGCCUGGAAGACAAAGAAACAGAUUGCAGUUUCCCGUUCGAGUGCCGGGGCUGAGUUGCGAGCAAUGGCUCUUUUGACGGCAGAGGUGACUUGGUUACGGUGGUUACUUCAGGAUUUUGGUGUUUCUGUCACUACACCGACUCCGCUCUUAUCUGACAGUACAGGUGCUAUUAGCAUUGCGCGUGAUCCUGUGAAGCAUGAGCUCACCAAGCAUAUUGGUGUUGAUGCUUUCUAUGUACACGCUGGUGUGCAGGAUCAGGUUAUUGCUCUUCAGUAUGUGCCUUCCGAGUUACAGUUGGCGGAUUUCCUGACGAAGGCCCAGACUAGAGCACAACAUGGCUUUUAUCUCUCC
rnacentral:rRNA from 1 species